rnacentral:rRNA from 1 species
AUGCAGAGGUUACUCCAAGGCAUUGAACUCUCUGAGGAGCCAGAUAAGCUCUCCUGGAAGUGGACUAUCGAUGACUACACGGCGCGGUCUACCUACCACGUGCUAUUCCUUGGGGCUACCACCGCACUCUACUGGCAGCUCAUCUGGAAGACUUGGGCUCCCUCCAAUGCGAAGAUCCUUCUCUGGCUAGCCUCCCUCAAUCGAUGUUGGACCGUCAACCGUCGCGCGCGACACGACUUGCCGCACGACCCCAUCUGCAAUCUGCGCGGCUAGGACGACGAAACUCUCCACCACCUCCUCGUUGGGUGUGUCUUCUCGCGCAUUAUUUGGCAUGACAUCUUGGCCUGGUGCUGCAUACCCACAAUACUGUAG